UUUCCUGUCCUCAGCCCUACAGUGUGCAAAAAUAGAUUGUGGAAAAAACUGCCCAUGCUGAUCUGCACAAUGCUGGCUUCAUUAAACUGCUAUUGAACACAGGACCACACAAUGUUAAAAGACUCUUCCCUUAAGGAAAUUUGUAGCUGUGGACUUUCUUUAGAUGACUCUUGUAUCAGAAAUAUUUUCCCUGCUUCUUUGAACAAGGAACAUAGGAUGUCUUGAUGCCAACAAAGUGUCAUCAGAAAGAUUCAGGAGAAACCUAAAGUUGGAGGACGAUACAUUUGUUUCCCAUUACUAGUUUUGUAAAACAAAUGGUAAAUUGGUAAAAAAAACAAUGUCACCAAUUACUUUAAAUAAAUUGUUUUCAAAAGUGGAGAUUGAUUCCAAAUCUUCAGCUUCCCAGGCAGACACCCAUCCACAAAGCCAUGGGUGAUAGAUGAUAUUCACAGCGGCACGACUGCGUUGUAAAUUGGAAUCACUUUUAUAAAGCCAAACAGGUAUAACAAAAAUGGCAUUUUAAAAAUUUUUUGUAUAGAAUUAUGAUGACUCGGCUAUUAAGAAAUGGAAUCGAAUUUUUAAGUUUUGUUACGUUUGAAAGUUACCCAAGAUUAUCGUAUCUCAUUGUUAUUCAGCAUAUAUGUCUAUGUAAUUCAUUGCUGGGAAACUAUAUUACAUGGAAUUGUUGUGUCAUAAUACUAUGUGUUGAAACAUGUUUUACUGCCUGUCCUCCGUAAUUGGAGCAGCAAUGUGCUUAACUGACCUGAGGAAAUGAAACAACUGUUGCGUCAUCUAGCGGUCAAGAUUCAAACCUUUAGGAAAUCCCACUCACUGGAGGAGGAGUUAAAUUUUCGGUUGCAGGUUGUUGAUUAUUUUCAGCAAAAAAAUAAUAAUAAAUGGCACUACACGAGGUGCUGAAAAAAAAAGGGGUAAUUUGGCAUUCCGUACCCUUUAACGGAUAAAAAAGAUCAGGCAUGUUAGAUCAGUCGGUUAGAGCGCAGUUCUUCUAACGUGGUGGUCUGGAGUUCGAUGCGCCUAAAAUGUAUUAUUUUCAUAAAUUCGGAGUAAAAUCCAAAUCCAUUCAAUUGAACAACAUCUUCGUCUGCUAUGCCUGCAAUGGCGGACUAAACGUUAUCAACAGCAUUUGCUUUGUUAAUUUUGUGCAUUUUAUCGUUGUUUUUGUGCGUUUCCAGCCUCCAAUUGAAACUGACAAAGAAAUGAGUUCUGUUCUUCGCCUCAUUUUUGCCUCAUCGUCAUCAAACUGAUCGUCCUCGCCUCGCCGUCUUCGCCUCGCCGUCUUCGCUUUGCCGUCUUCGUCUUGCCGUCUUCGCUUUGCCGUCUUCGCUUUGCCGUCUUCGCUUUGCCGUCUUCGCUUUGCCGUCUUCGCCUUGCCGUCUUCAAGUUGAUCGUCUUUGCCUCGCCGUCUUCGACUCAUGGUCUUCAAGCUCAUGGUCUUUGUCUCAAUGUCAUCGAGCUCAUCGUCUUUGCUCGCGCUCGUCUUCUCCUCAUCGCCGUCAUCGUGGAAACUCGCGUUUUUGGUAGUUUGUUUUGUUAUGUUUUUGAUUGUUGUAUAGUGUAUGUUUAAAGUUAACCCGUUGGCUGCCACCCAUUUUGCUCCCCUUUUUUUUUUAGUUGUAGGGACCGGCGGCGCUGUUCUGCCUCAUGGUUGAUCACCCAUGGGGUGGGGCAGUCGCCUUGCGCCUUAGGGCGCCGUAGGCAAUGCACCAGUAGGGACUUCCCUUUGUCGAUGCGAUGGUGGAGUACCUGGGGUGUGCAUUCCCGUAAAGGUCUCCAUCGUCAAGUCAGCCCGGACUUGUCUUCGGACAAGUCCCCCUUUCAUCGGAUCCCUCUGAAACGAUGCGUAGUAACUGUAGGAGAACAACCUACGGGUUGUAAUGGCUUGGCAGCCAACGGGUUAACUUAAGUGUUUGUGUAUUUAUGCAUGUAUGUUUUGUAUUUAUUGUAUAACAUGUGUUGUAUGUAUUGAAUAACAUGUCAUGUAAAACAGUGGUGGAAUUGUGGGUGGAGGUGGGAAAAUACAAAACCAAUUCCAUUUUUA